rnacentral:rRNA from 1 species
CCUACGGGAGGCAGCAGUGGGGAAUAUUGGGCAAUGGGCGCAAGCCUGACCCAGCAACGCCGCGUGAAGGAAGAAGGCUUUCGGGUUGUAAACUUCUUUUGUCAGGGACGAAGCAAGUGACGGUACCUGACGCAUAAGCCACGGCUAACUACGUGCCAGCAGCCGCGGUAAUACGUAGGUGGCAAGCGUUAUCCGGAUUUACUGGGUGUAAAGGGCGUGUAGGCGGGGAAGCAAGUCAGAUGUGAAAACCACGGGCUCAACCUGUGGCCUGCAUUUGAAACUGUUUUUCUUGAGUGCUGGAGAGGCAAUCGGAAUUCCGUGUGUAGCGGUGAAAUGCGUAGUUAUACGGAGGAACACCAGUGGCGAAGGCGGAUUGCUGGACAGUAACUGACGCUGAGGCGCGAAAGCGUGGGGAGCAAACAGGAUUAGAUACCCUUGUAGUC